rnacentral:rRNA from 1 species
CCGCGGCGCAUUAGCUAGUUGGUGAGGUAAGGGCUCACCAAGGCGACGAUGCGUAGCCGACCUGAGAGGGUGAUCGGCCACAUUGGGACUGAGACACGGCCCAGACUCCUACGGGAGGCAGCAGUGGGGAAUAUUGCACAAUGGGGGAAACCCUGAUGCAGCAACGCCGCGUGAGUGAUGACGGCCUUCGGGUUGUAAAGCUCUGUCUUCAGGGACGAUAAUGACGGUACCUGAGGAGGAAGCCACGGCUAACUACGUGCCAGCAGCCGCGGUAAUACGUAGGUGGCGAGCGUUAUCCGGAUUUACUGGGCGUAAAGGAUGCGUAGGUGGAAUUUUAAGUGGGAUGUGAAAUACCCGGGCUCAACCUGGGAACUGCAUUCCAAACUGGAAUUCUAGAGUGCAGGAGAGGAAAGCGGAAUUCCUAGUGUAGCGGUGAAAUGCGUAGAGAUUA